ACACCUCAACUCUCAUGGCUUGCCAUGAUGAGCUUGGACUUUGGAGGUCUUGCUGGCCACAUGCAGGUCAGCUCCUCUCAAAUGAAUUAGCUUGCCAGUGUUUGGCGGCAUCACAGGUGUGAUAACUAUCUACACUUGUGGUUUUCUGCCAGGUAAUCUUCAGCAGUGGAGGUUCACUGGGGCUCAUAAACAUCACCCUCUCUUUAAUGGGGGGCAUGUUUUGAUU
rnacentral:misc_RNA from 1 species